ACGUGGUACUCUACUGGAUCUCCUUAAAGAUAUUUCUACAAUAGGAUUCAAAUUUGAUCUAAUCAAGUUUGACUCUAUGGGUUUACUAGAUUGUGUCGGUUCUUCUACUGAUCGAACUUCAUCAAGUUCAAUCUUUGAGGUAUUAGUUCCUUCACCAUGGAAUUUUUUUUUAAAAAGAUAGCCCUAUUGCUGACGAACACCUUCUGUUCAUCAGUAAGAUAGAAGUAAUAUCCCUUGAUCUCUUUUGGAUAUCC
rnacentral:lncRNA from 1 species